GAGUUUGAUCGUGGCUCAGAUUGAACGCUGGCGGCAGGCCUAACACAUGCAAGUCGAGCGGUAGAGAGAAGCUUGCUUCUCUUGAGAGCGGCGGACGGGUGAGUAAUGCCUAGGAAUCUGCCUGGUAGUGGGGGAUAACGCUCGGAAACGGACGCUAAUACCGCAUACGUCCUACGGGAGAAAGCAGGGGACCUUCGGGCCUUGCGCUAUCAGAUGAGCCUAGGUCGGAUUAGCUAGUUGGUGAGGUAAUGGCUCACCAAGGCGACGAUCCGUAACUGGUCUGAGAGGAUGAUCAGUCACACUGGAACUGAGGCACGGUCCAGACUCCUACGGGAGGCAGCAGUGGGGAAGAUUGGACAAUGGGCGAAAGCCUGAUCCAGCCAUGCCGCGUGUGUGAAGAAGGUCUUCGGAUUGUAAAGCACUUUAAGUUGGGAGGAAGGGCAGUAAAUUAAUACUUUGCUGUUUUGACGUUACCGACAGAAUAAGCACCGGCUAACUCUGUGCCAGCA
rnacentral:rRNA from 1 species